rnacentral:rRNA from 1 species
UAAGGAAUAUUGGUCAAUGGACGCAAGUCUGAACCAGCCAUGCCGCGUGAAGGAUGAAGGUCCUCUGGAUUGUAAACUUCUUUUAUCUGGGACGAAAAUGGGAUUUUUAUCUCAAUUGACGGUACCAGAGGAAUAAGCACCGGCUAACUCCGUGCCAGCAACCGCGGUAAUACGGAGGGUGCGAGCGUUAUCCGGAUUUACUGGGUUUAAAGGGUGCGUAGGUGGGCUUAUAAGUCAGUGGUGAAAUCUCCGAGCUUAACUUGGAAACUGCCGUUGAUACUAUAGGUCUUGAAUUAUCUGGAGGUAAGCGGAAUAUGUCAUGUAGCGGUGAAAUGCUUAGAUAUGACAUAGAACACCAAUUGCGAAGGCAGCUUACUACAUAUAAAUUGACGCUGAGGCACGAAAGCGUGGGGAUCAAACA